GGGGGGGUGGGGGGGCGGGGCGGGUGGGGGGAGAAAGAGAGGGGUGGUUGUGUGGACAAGAAUGACAUCUAUAAGCUAAUUGAGACGUACACUUCUAAAUAUGAUUCGUAUCAUUAACAAAAACACAAUCAUCAAUAUGAAUAAUGUACAUCAUGAACAAGACGUAUUAUCAUCUUCGUCAUCAUCUUCGUCAUCAUCAUCAAUUCCAUCAAAGAAUGGAUCUUUGAGGAGAUCUGCAGCAGAAGGCCUUGCUCUAGGCUGAGCAAUGCAUUUCUCAAUGAAUGCCCUAACUUGAGGGUCCCUAACCUUGCUUAAGGCCUGAGGCCUAACUCCAGAGGAAACCUUCUUGUAUAUUCUUGCAACAUUGUCACAUUCACUAUAUGGAAUUUCCAAAGUCACCAUCUCUAACACACACAUACCAAAUGAAUAUAUGUCCACCAUUUCUGUGUAAUCCUCCUCAUACAGCUCAGGUGCCAUAAAUUCUGGUGUCCCAAGAAUUGAAUGUGCUAAAUGACUCUUCCCCACUGUAGCAGCCAGCCCAAGAUCACCAAUCUUAACCUGGCCGAUAUUCCCAUUGACAAACAAGUUGCUGCAAUUGAGAUCUCUGUGAAUGAUGCAAGGCUCAUGCGUAUGCAAAUAAUUCAAGCCUUUCAAGAUUUGUUUGGACCAUUUCUUGAGUGCCUUCUUUGAAACAUGCCUGUGUUUCUUCCUAUAUUCCCUCAAAUUACCAGAAGUACAAACUUCAGUUAUGAAAUUCAAAGUAUUAUGAUCUUCGUCGCGCCAAACAUUGUACAAAGAAAUGAUAUUCUUGUUGGUUAAGCUUCUUAACAAUCGAACCUCUGAGUAAAGCCUGUCGAUCAUCGUUGGAUCGUUAGAGAAGUUUCUUAAUUUGACUUGGUUCCAUGCAACCUCUAUUCCUUCUUCUUGAUCAAAUGCCCGGUAAACUUUUUUCACUGCGCCGGAGCCUAGAAGUUCACUGUAACGGCCGUAGCGUCCGGUGGGGUCAACCUCAACGAAGGGCUCUGAAUCCUUAUCGGAUGGAUCAGGGAUGACGCUAGGCAUCUUCAUGGAAAAGCACACGAGAAUAUUAGUCAAAACAACAUGCACUCUCCACUCUUGGUCAAGAAAUAAAAAUUUAAUGCAGUUCUUAAGCUUAAAUCACCAACUUUCAUCAAGAAAUCAAUACAGAAUCUCGGCCAGAAUCAAAUCACAAAACCAAUUACGCAUAAUUAAUUCUCACACAUUAACACCGCACAGGCUGAUCAAUCCAGAGAAGAAAACUAAAAACAAAGCUUAAAUUAAUCUAAUUAAGUUCUAAAACCAACAGAACGAAAAGAAAAAGAAAUCUACCAAUAUCGUAGGAAAAAAGAAAAAGAAGAUCAAACACAGAAAACCUUCACGAAAACGCAUUAAAAGUUGAUAUAAAGCAAUUGAAUAAACACCAUAUUGAUUUGCUCAAACAAACAAAAAACAAGGAAAGAUUCAUUGCAAAAUAAAUAAAUAAACAAACACGAAGAGAUAAGUCAUAGUAUUUACCCUUAAAACAAAUCCAACGAAGAGCUAACGAAGCUCUUGUUGAAGAAGAGAAAGCUCUGCGUCAAGCAGAAACUUUGGUUUGAAAAAGCAAUGUGACCAGAGCAGGAAGCAUGGAAAAGCUCAUGAAGCUUGGAGAGAUGGGCUUUUAUAGGAAGAUUAAUUAGGAGAAUUCUAAUAAAAAACUUCUUGGUUAACCAAAAUACGAAGCGUUUUAGGAUUGGAUUUCCCAGUAACUUUGGAACACC
rnacentral:misc_RNA from 1 species